rnacentral:rRNA from 1 species
CAGUCGCCGCGGGAAUACGAGGGGUGCGAGCGUUAAUCGGAAUUACUGGGCGUAAAGCGUGCGCAGGCGGUUUUAUAAGACAGGCGUGAAAUCCCCGGGCUCAACCUGGGAAUGGCGCUUGUGACUGCAAAGCUAGAGUGCGGCAGAGGGGGAUGGAAUUCCGCGUGUAGCAGUGAAAUGCGUAGAUAUGCGGAGGAACACCGAUGGCGAAGGCAAUCCCCUGGGCCUGCACUGACGCUCAUGCACGAAAGCGUGGGGAGCAAACAGGAUUAGAUACCCGCGUAGUCCCUGUCUCUUAUAC